CGCGGGGUGGAGCAGCUCGGUAGCUCGCUGGGCUCAUAACCCAGAGGUCGCAGGUUCAAAUCCUGCCCCCGCUACGA
rnacentral:tRNA from 11 species